GACGUAGGGCGCGAGCGUUGUCCGGAUUUAUUGGGCGUAAAGAGCUCGUAGGCGGCUUGUCGCGUCGACUGUGAAACCCGACGGCUCAACCGUGUGGUCUGCAGUCGAUACGGGCAGGCUAGAGUUCGGUAGGGGAGACUGGAAUUCCUGGUGUAGCGGUGAAAUGCGCAGAUAUCAGGAGGAACACCGGUGGCGAAGGCAGCUUGCUGGGACGUUACUGACGCUAAGGCGCGAAAGCGUGGGGAGCGAACGGG
rnacentral:rRNA from 1 species